rnacentral:rRNA from 1 species
AUAAGACAUGCAAAGUCGAACGGAAGUACGUUGUAAUGAUGUUGACAUGAACAGAGAACUUGUUCAAAGGGAAUGAAGAUUGACUUACAACAAUGGCUUUAGUGCGGACUGGUGAGUAACACGUAAGCAACCUGCCUAUCAGAGGGGAACAACAGUUAGAAAUGACUGCUAAUACCGCAUAUGCCUUAGUAACUCAUGUUACAAAAGGGAAAGGAGCAAUCCGCUGAUAGAUGGGCUUGCGUCUGAUUAGAUAGUUGGUGGGGUAAUGGCCUACCAAGUCGACGAUCAGUAGCCGGACUGAGAGGUUGAACGGCCACAUUGGGACUGAGAUACGGCCCAGACUCCUACGGGAGGCAGCAGUCGGGAAUAUUGCGCAAUGGAGGAAACUCUGACGCAGUGACGCCGCGUGCAGGAAGAAGGUUUUCGGAUUGUAAACUGCUUUAGACAGGGAAGAAAAAGACAGUACCUGUAGAAUAAGCUCCGGCUAACCACGUG